rnacentral:rRNA from 1 species
GACGAACGCUGGCGGCGUGCCUAAUACAUGCAAGUCGAACGCUUCUUUCCUCCCGAGUGCUUGCACUCAAUUGGAAAGAGGAGUGGCGGACGGGUGAGUAACACGUGGGUAACCUACCCAUCAGAGGGGGAUAACACUUGGAAACAGGUGCUAAUACCGCAUAACAGUUUAUGCCGCAUGGCAUAAGAGUGAAGGGCGCUUUCGGGUGUCGCUGAUGGAUGGACCCGCGGUGCAUUAGCUAGUUGGUGAGGUAACGGCUCACCAAGGCCACGAUGCAUAGCCGACCUGAGAGGGUGAUCGGCCACACUGGGACUGAGACACGGCCCAGACUCCUACGGGAGGCAGCAGUAGGGAAUCUUCGGCAAUGGACGAAAGUCUGACCGAGCAACGCCGCGUGAGUGAAGAAGGUUCUCGGAUCGUAAAACUCUGUUAUUAGAGAAGAACAAGGACGUUAGUAACUGAACGUCCCCUGACGGUAUCUAACCAGAAAGCCACGGCUAACUACGUG